rnacentral:rRNA from 1 species
GACGAACGCUGGCGGUAUGCUUAACACAUGCAAGUCGAACGAGAAGUCUUUUAUUGAACCUUCGGGGGAUAUAAGAGACAGACAGUGGCGAACGGGUGAGUAACGCGUGGGCAACCUACCUAUCGGAGCGGGAUAGCCUCGAGAAAUCGGGAGUAAAACCGCAUAACACGGAUAUAUCGCAUGAUGAAUCCGUCAAAACUCCGGUGCCGAUAGAUGGGCCCGCGUCUGAUUAGCUAGUUGGUAAGGUAAGGGCUUACCAAGGCAACGAUCAGUAGCCGGUCUGAGAGGGCGAACGGCCACACUGGAACUGAGACACGGUCCAGACUCCUACGGGAGGCAGCAGUGGGGAAUAUUGCGCAAUGGGGGCAACCCUGACGCAGCAAUACCGCGUGAGUGAAGAAGGUUUUCGGAUCGUAAAGCUCUGUUAUUGGGGAAGAAAGCAGUGACGGUA